rnacentral:rRNA from 1 species
AUUGAACGCUGGCGGCAUGCUUUACACAUGCAAGUCGAACGGCAGCGCGGGGCUUCGGUCCUGGCGGCGAGUGGCGAACGGGUGAGUAACACAUCGGAACGUACCUGGAAGUGGGGGACAACCAGUCGAAAGAUUGGCUAAUACCGCAUACCAUCUACGGAUGAAAGAGGGGGACCUUCGGGCCUCUUGCUUUCAGAGCGGCCGAUGCCUGAUUAGCUAGUUGGUGGGGUAAGAGCCUACCAAGGCGACGAUCAGUAGCUGGUCUGAGAGGACGAUCAGCCACACUGGGACUGAGACACGGCCCAGACUCCUACGGGAGGCAGCAGUGGGGAAUUUUGGACAAUGGGGGCAACCCUGAUCCAGCAAUGCCGCGUGAGUGAAGAAGGCCUUCGGGUUGUAAAGCUCUUUUGUCAGGGAAGAAACAGGAGAUGCUAAUACCAUUUCUGAAUGACGGUACCUGAAGAAUAAGCACCGGCUAACUACGUGCCAGCCGCCGCCGUAACAC